UACGUAGGGUGCGAGCGUUAUCCGGAGUUACUGGGCGUAAAGCGUGCGUAGGCGGCGCGUUAAGUGAGGUGUGAAAUCUGGCGGCUCAACCGUGUAGAUUGCAUCUCAUACUGGCGUGCUAGAGUAUGGCAGAGGCAAGUGGAAUUGGCAGUGUAGCAGUGAAAUGCGUAGAUAUUGCCAGGAACACCAAUGGCGAAGGCAGCUUGCUGGGCCACUACUGACGCUCAGGCACGAAAGCGUGGGGAGCGAACAGG
rnacentral:rRNA from 1 species